rnacentral:lncRNA from 1 species
CGGUGGGCGGCGCUCCGAGGGAACCCUUCCGGGGGCGAAGAGCCGGAGUUUGCUCGGGGGCGGAGGCCGCGGGCCGCCCUCGUCUGCCCCUGGGCCGUUUUUAUGCCCCGGUAUGCCCCUUCACGCCGCUCCCUGCCGAGGCUGGAAGCGGCAGCGGUACACAGAUGCAUGUUCUGCCCCUAAGAGAUGAUGAAGAUGGAAGUUCGUGGCUUGCUCCUUGCUUCUCAGAUAUGGACAGCUCCUGAAGCCGGUGAAGGAGAAACAGCAGUCUGAGGUGAAACAACAUUCAACAAAACCUCAUCAAAUGCUUUCAGAGGUCUCUGAAAAAAUUACUGUUGUGCUUAAAAAUUGAAUAUUAUCUACUAAACUUUAUUUUCGUUUGAAACCUGACUGUCCCAUCCUCCCCGUUUUCAUCUAAGAAUGAAAAUGACACGUUACAUUAAAGACACAAAUGCCACUUUGGGAUUGAAAUCGUACUACGUGAAUCCGUGUGAUCUAUUAGCAGGACUGAGUCUCUUCAUUCUCAGUGCAGAAGUGCAGUACAACAGAAGAACAAAUACAUUCUGCAGGUGGAGAGAAGAGCCGUGGGUUCAUGGUAAGGACAGCAUCCAUCUGCCCCAGAAGCCCCAGUUGGUAGUAAAGCAGUUCGCAGCACAGACCUUUCUGUGGAGAAGCUCAUGCAGCCGGCCGGCCAGCAAGCAGUUCUCACACUGCAGCAUCAUGCUUAGCUGUGUCAAGCAACAUAUAAAUCAUGAAGACAAAGUGCUGUUGAGCAACAAGGCAGCUUUUCCCAGCCAGGUCAGUAAGAAGAAACCACAGUUAUCAAAUCAGUGUCUUGGCAUUGAAGCUGCACAGCACCUCAGUGGAGCAGGUUAGUGGGAUCGGGUCCCUUCCUCCAGAGGAAGGUUUGUGCUGCUGUUUGGCCUCACCCACCUUCAGGCAGCUGAGUUUCUGUUGACUCGAAAGGAAAGCAAAAAGUCUGAAAUGCUGCUAAAAGGCCUCGUAUUGUCUGACAUCCUGUGACAAGAAAAAAAUAAACAACUUUGACCACAAGCCGUAAUGACUCUCACCUCUGUGUAAGCUUUCAGUGGCAUCAGUACUGCUGCAUCCUGCUUUUGGUUUUGCCUUGCUCGCUUGUGUUAUUCCGUGCAUUGCACAAAGAGCUUCCAGGACAUCUCCUGCAAGCCAGACUCUGGGAGCAGUUACAGCUGCCAGCCCAGCAAUAAAAAUACUGGGCCUAAAAGUCA